AAUAAACGCAUCGAUCAGGGAAAAUGCAGAAAAAAGUGAUUAUCGACUCGUACAGCGUAGAGAGAGGGAUAGCGAGGGAGGGAGAGGGAAAAAAUGGGGAAAAUUCCAGCAUCGAAGGAAAGCGUACGUAAGAAAAUGUAAGUUAGAGUGUCGCUCGAGAACGCCAUCUGUCGGCCGAGGCGAGAGUUAGUAAUGGCUUAGGGUAGGUCAUGUCGCGUUCGCCAGACUGCAUUGCAUAAAACGAGAUUCUCCUCGGCGAUGGCGAUGCAUCGACGACGCAUUCGAUGCAACUCGAGCAGCACGAGUAAAACCUGCAUUAGGCGAAAGAUGGCUAGAUACCACAAGGUUCCAUUUUUUUUCCAUGGGUGAAACGACGACGACGUGUCUCAGCCAGUUUUCCCAAGUUACCGGUACUUUCCAGUUUGGGUAAACAAAGGUGAUUGGAGGUCGUUAAUUAGGACCGAUUUUUAAAGGGGUGGACAAGUACACAGGACGACUUUUAAAAACAGAUUUACAAUCGCUCGAAUUGCUAAGAGUUCGCUGACUUCAUGAGAAGCGGAUUCGCGCGGGUGAGGACGAGGAAGGAACAUACGCAACAUGACCUACCGCAAUUAUUUUUUGCCUGUACCAAACCCGCCGAUUGUUGUUGCGCUGUUUUUUCCCUUAUCAACAGGCCACGGUUGAUCGUUUAAAUUAAUCUGAAUUCUUUAAUUAGCGCUCAUUAAAUACGAAAAAAAAGAGCAGAAAAGGAAGGAGAAGAAAAACGAUCGUUGAUAAGAACGUUUUAAUAGAAAUGAUUUGUCGAACGUCGAGUACGAGUAUACUGUACAUAUUUCGUCGUAAAUUCGUUUGUUAUUAUUCGACGUAAAAAAUAUUAUAAUUAACUAAUACUUACUGUAUACACAAUCGUUUGAUAAAAAUAAUGGAAAAUAAAAUAUAAAUGCACAUACGAAUGUA